AGCGAAUCGGUAUCAGAUACCGUAUCCGAUACCGAUACUCUUCCGAUACGCCCCCGAUACGUAUCCAAGGAGUAUCCGUGAAUAAACGAUUUAAAACAAUUCCGAUACUUGAAGGAUACUUUUUCAGUUCGUUUUGGAUACGGCCCAGCCCAUCUAAGAGACCACUCAGCCCAGUUAAGAGGCAGACAGCAACCCUAGUACCCCAAUGCCCCCUUCCUUUCCCUCCUAGUUUUCUUUCCUCCCUCCCGAGCUCACACCAGGCGGCGGCUGGUGGCUGCAUACCUAGCAGCUACUCGCCCAGGGCCGGCGGCAGCGGCGGCUAGCCGGCGACGAGCUGCUACUCCUCACCAACUGCUCCUGUCACGCAGCAAGCAGCGAGUGAAACCCAUGUUGGUCUUAGACCAGUUACUCACCAAUCGGCUUGUGAUGGCCCCAUUGCCAACACAAGAAGAAACGUCGGUGGCUGUUGGGACGUGGGUAUACUAAGAAAAGGGUCCGAAUGAGCAGGAAAGGCAAACAAGAAGCCUGAUGGUGGCUGAAUGCAGAGGGAGGCGGCAACCUGUGAAAUACAAUUAUCUCGCCUUGUUGUUUGUUGUGGGUCUCUUUGGCAGCACAUGAAGCUGGUGGCGAAGGGGUUGGCGUCUGAAUUCUUUAGAACGAUGAAAAGUCCUUUAUUGAAAAAAAUCAGGAACUAGCUCGUAUUGCAGUUUGGCAUGUGUUUCGAAGAGGGUAAACAAACAAACAAACAAACUGCAAGGGAGUCUGCAUUGCUCUGUGACUCUGUCCUCUGUUUCUCCCAAAGCAGAGGAAGGGGUAAAUGGGUCUGAUCUGUUAGUAUUAGCUUGCCACUGGUCAAUAGAGGAAGGAAUAGAGAUUCUAUUGAAAAACAUGGAACCAGAUAGGGAUUCCUUCCUA